CGCAACCCUUAUCCUUUGUUGCCAGCGGUUCGGCCGGGAACUCAAAGGAGACUGCCAGUGAUAAACUGGAGGAAGGUGGGGAUGACGUCAAGUCAUCAUGGCCCUUACGAGUAGGGCUACACACGUGCUACAAUGGCGCAUACAAAGAGAAGCGACCUCGCGAGAGCAAGCGGACCUCACAAAGUGCGUCGUAGUCCGGAUCGCAGUCUGCAACUCGACUGCGUGAAGUCGGAAUCGCUAGUAAUCGUGAAUCAGAAUGUCGCGGUGAAUACGUUCCCGGGCCUUGUACACACCGCCCGUCACACCAUGGGAGUGGGUUGUACCAGAAGUAG
rnacentral:rRNA from 1 species